rnacentral:tRNA from 1 species
GGCCCCAUAGCUCAGGGGAUAGAGCACCGGUCUCCGGAACCGGGUGCGGAGGUUCGAAUCCUCCUGGGGCCA